AGGGAUACAGCUCAGUGGCACAGCACCUGCCUGGAAAGCACGAGGUCUUGAGUUCAAUUCUUUAUCUAUCUA
rnacentral:tRNA from 1 species